AUUGAACGCUGGCGGCGUGCUUAACACAUGCAAGUCGAGCGAGAAAGCUCUCUUCGGAGAGUGAGUAGAGCGGCGCACGGGUGAGUAACGCGUGGAUAAUCUGCCCUGAAGAUCGGGAUAACAGUUGGAAACGGUUGCUAAUACCGUAUAAUCUGCAUAUUUAACUUUAUGUGGGAAAGAUGGCCUCUACUUGUAAGCUAUCACUUUUGGAUGAGUCCGCGUCUCAUUAGCUUGUUGGUGGGGUAAUGGCCUACCAAGGCAACGAUGAGUAGCUGGUCUGAGAGGAUGAUCAGCCACACUGGGACUGAAACACGGCCCAGACUCCUACGGGAGGCAGCAGUGGGGAAUAUUGCGCAAUGGGGGAAACCCUGACGCAGCGACGCCGCGUGUAGGAAGAAGGCCUUCGGGUCGUAAACUACUGUCAAGAGGGAAGAAACCGUAGAGUAUUAAUACGACUCUGCGCUGACGGUACCUCUAGAGGAAGCACCGGCUAACUCCGUGCCAGCAGCCGCGGUAAUACGGAGGGUGCGAGCGUUAAUCGGAAUCACUGGGCGUAAAGCGUGCGUAGGCGGCGUAUCAAGUCAGGCGUGAAAGCCCUCGGCUCAACCGGGGAAUUGCGCUUGAAACUGGUAUGCUAGAGUCUCGGAGAGGUUGGCGGAAUUCCAGGUGUAGGAGUGAAAUCCGUAGAUAUCUGGAGGAACACCGGUGGCGAAGGCGGCCAACUGGACGAGUACUGACGCUGAGGUACGAAAGCGUGGGUAGCAAACAGGAUUAGAUACCCUGGUAGUCCACGCUGUAAACGAUGGAUAUUAGGUGUCGGGGUUUUACUUCGAUGCCGCAGUUAACGCGUUAAAUAUCCCGCCUGGGGAGUACGGUCGCAAGGCUGAAACUCAAGGAAUUGACGGGGCCC
rnacentral:rRNA from 1 species